GACGAACGCUGGCGGCGUGCCUAAUACAUGCAAGUAGAACGCUGAAGGAGGAGCUUGCUCUUCUGGAUGAGUUGCGAACGGGUGAGUAACGCGUAGGUAACCUGCCUGGUAGCGGGGGAUAACUAUUGGAAACGAUAGCUAAUACCGCAUAAAAUUGAUUAUUGCAUGAUAGUCAAUUAAAAGGUGCAAUUGCAUCACUACCAGAUGGACCUGCGUUGUAUUAGCUAGUUGGUGAGGUAACGGCUCACCAAGGCAACGAUACAUAGCCGACCUGAGAGGGUGAUCGGCCACACUGGGACUGAGACACGGCCCAGACUCCUACGGGAGGCAGCAGUAGGGAAUCUUCGGCAAUGGACGGAAGUCUGACCGAGCAACGCCGCGGGAGUGAAGAAGGUUUUCGGAUCGUAAAGCUCUGUUGUAAGAGAAGAACGAGUGUGGGAGUGGAAAGUUCACACUGUGACGGUACCUUACCAGAAAGGGACGGCUAACUACGUG
rnacentral:rRNA from 1 species